rnacentral:rRNA from 1 species
GCUGGUGUUUUGAGCGAUGGGGCAACACCUCUUCCCAUUCCGAACAGAGAAGUUAAGCCCGUCAGCGCCGAUGAUACUUGGGUCGGAAGACCCAGGGAAAGUAGGCCAACGCCGGCA